GGUCCAGACUCCUACGGGAGGCAGCAGUGGGGAAUAUUGCACAAUGGGCGCAAGCCUGAUGCAGCCAUGCCGCGUGUGUGAAGAAGGCCUUCGGGUUGUAAAGCACUUUCAGCGGGGAGGAAGGCGUUAAGGUUAAUAACCUUGGCGAUUGACGUUACCCGCAGAAGAAGCACCGGCUAACUCCGUGCCAGCAGCCGCGGUAAUACGGAGGGUGCAAGCGUUAAUCGGAAUUACUGGGCGUAAAGCGCACGCAGGCGGUCUGUCAAGUCGGAUGUGAAAUCCCCGGGCUCAACCUGGGA
rnacentral:rRNA from 1 species